rnacentral:rRNA from 1 species
GAAGUGACUGAGUGGCGGACGGGUGAGUAACGCGUGGAUAACCUGCCUCAUACAGGGGGAUAACAGUUAGAAAUAGGGUGCUAAUACCGCAUAAGCGCACAGUGUCGCAUGACACAGUGUGAAAAGCCGAGACGGUAUACGAUGGACCCGCGUCUGAUUAGCUAGUUGGUGGGGUAGAGGGCCUACCAAGGCGACGAUCAGUAGCCGGCCUGAGAGGGUGACCGGCCACAUUGGGACUGAGACACGGCCCAAACUCCUACGGGAGGCAGCAGUGGGGAAUAUUGCACAAUGGGGGAAACCCUGAUGCAGCGACGCCGCGUGAGUGAAGAAGUAUUUCGGUAUGUAAAGCUCUAUCAGCAGGGAAGAAAAUGACGGUACCUGACUAAGAAGCCCCGGCUAACUACGUG